UAAUAAAAUUUUUGAAAAAGAAAAUGGGCAUGCGGUGGACCCGUGCUCAUCGUUGACGGAAGACACAGGACAAACGAGUGAGCAGAGUAGCGCAGAGGGAUGAACAUUCCAACAAGAAUCGCAGCCAGACUUCCCCUACUCGCCUCUCCUUCGCUUCCCUCCUCCUCUUCCUCCGCUCUCCCCCUCCACAGCUUCUCCUCUGUAUUCUCUCACCACCGCUUGCGCAAUUUGGGUAAUUUAGAGCCAACAGUGAACACCAGUAGAUUGAAACGCUGCGUUGCGAAGAAGAUGGCUUGGAGUUUGGAGAAGAGCAACGGGGGCGUUGAAACCCACUUGGGGGUGGUCUGGCCGGCCACUGAAGCUCACGCUGAAGAGGCCGUAGGAGCUCUCAGAGCCGGAAAAGUCAUUGCCGUCCCCACCGAUACGCUCUACGGCAUAGCAUGUGAUGCUUGCUCAUUGGAAGCAGUGAAUCGGAUAUAUGAGAUUAAAGGACGUAAGCAUACAAGUCCUCUUGCAAUUUGUGUUGGGGAUGUUUCGGACAUUGAGCGGUUUGCUGUCACAGACCAUUUGCCCCAUGGCUUGCUUGAGGUUCUCCUUCCAGGACCCGUUACUCUUGUACUAAGCCGAGGGGAGUCGAGCAUUCUUGAGAAGUCUUUAAACCCAGGAUUGCAUAGUAUUGGAGUUCGAGUACCUGACUGUAACUUCAUCAGGGACAUUGCACGCGGAUUGGGGAGUGCAUUGGCCCUUACAAGUGCAAACCUGAGUGGGCAGCCAAGUAGUGUUUCCAUCAAAGAUUUUGAGAACCUCUGGGAACACUGUGCGUACGUUUACAAUGGUGGUGUGCUUCCUUCAGGCCGUGCAGGCUCAACAGUUGUGGACCUCACCAGAAUCGACAAGUACAAGAUUCUUCGACCCGGAAGUGCGAGAGACGAAACUGUUGCAAUUCUCGAAAGGUUUUCUCUUGAGGAAGAAGGAACAGCUACUUAAACCCGCAUGCAUGGCAACUUCCAUGCUUUACAUGCCUUAGUGGCUGUGACCUGGGCAGCUGUUAGAUAUCGAUGAGGUUUGGAGAAAAAUUGCACUUGGUAAUGUAUUAUUAGAUACGGGGAUGCCACGUGACCCUGAAUCCAUUUCGUGCAAGUCCUUCUUAGGAAGAUACUAGUGACGACGUCGUUUCGCUUCUAGGCCUCGUGGACAAACCAUGUUCGAUGGAAUAUUGGAUGCUUCACCUUCAGGGCUUUUUUUUUUUAGUACAAAGUUAUUUCCUUAUAAUAUGCUGUCAAAUUUGUAAAUGGAGGGUGUCAUAUUCACAAACACAAUAGUUUAAAGGACGGAUUCAUCAGGGAUGACAACUUAACAAUAUGAUAACACGAUUCGAGCUCAA